rnacentral:rRNA from 1 species
ACAUACGACCAUAGGGUGUGGAAAACAGGGCUUCCCGUCCGCUCAGCCGUACUUAAGCCACACGCCGGGAGGUUAGUAGUUGGGUGGGUGACCACCAGCGAAUCCCUCCUGUUGUAUGUA